rnacentral:rRNA from 1 species
UUAAGCGACUAAGCGUACACGGUGGAUGCCCUGGCAGUCAGAGGCGAUGAAGGACGUGCUAAUCUGCGAAAAGCGUCGGUAAGGUGAUAUGAACCGUUACAGCCGGCGAUGUCCGAAUGGGGAAACCCAGUGCAAUUCGUUGCACUAUCGUUAACUGAAUACAUAGGUUAACGAAGCGAACCGGGGGAACUGAAACAUCUAAGUACCCCGAGGAAAAGAAAUCAACCGAGAUUCCCCCAGUAGCGGCGAGCGAACGGGGAGCAGCCCAGAGUCUGAAUCAGCUUGUGUGUUAGUGGAACGGUCUGGAAAGUCCGACGGUACAGGGUGAUAGUCCCGUACACCAAAAUGCACAGGCUGUGAACUCGAAGAGUAGGGCGGGACACGUGGUAUCCUGUCUGAAUAUGGGGGGACCAUCCUCCAAGGCUAAAUACUCCUGACUGACCGAUAGUGAACCAGUACCGUGAGGGAAAGGCGAAAAGAACCCCGGCGAGGGGAGUGAAAAAGAACCUGAAACCGUGUACGUACAAGCAGUGGGAGCACCUUCGGGUGUGACUGCGUACCUUUUGUAUAAUGGGUCAGCGACUUAUAUUCUGUAGCAAGGUUAACCGUAUAGGGGAGCCGCAGGGAAACCGAGUCUUAACUGGGCGUUAAGUUGCAGGGUAUAGACCCGAAACCCGGUGAUCUAGCCAUGGGCAGGUUGAAGGUUGGGUAACACUAACUGGAGGACCGAACCGACUAAUGUUGAAAAAUUAGCGGAUGACUUGUGGCUGGGGGUGAAAGGCCAAUCAAACCGGGAGAUAGCUGGUUCUCCCCGAAAGCUAUUUAGGUAGCGCCUCGUGAACUCAUCUUCGGGGGUAGAGCACUGUUUCGGCUAGGGGGUCAUCCCGACUUACCAACCCGAUGCAAACUACGAAUACCGAAGAAUGUUAUCACGGGAGACACACGGCGGGUGCUAACGUCCGUCGUGAAGAGGGAAACAACCCAGACCGCCAGCUAAGGUCCCAAAGUCAUGGUUAAGUGGGAAACGAUGUGGGAAGGCACAGACAGCCAGGAUGUUGGCUUAGAAGCAGCCAUCAUUUAAAGAAAGCGUAAUAGCUCACUGGUCGAGUCGGCCUGCGCGGAAGAUGUAACGGGGCUAAACCAUGCACCGAAGCUGCGGCAGCGACACUAUGUGUUGUUGGGUAGGGGAGCGUUCUGUAAGCCUGCGAAGGUGUGCUGUGAGGCAUGCUGGAGGUAUCAGAAGUGCGAAUGCUGACAUAAGUAACGAUAAAGCGGGUGAAAAGCCCGCUCGCCGGAAGACCAAGGGUUCCUGUCCAACGUUAAUCGGGGCAGGGUGAGUCGACCCCUAAGGCGAGGCCGAAAGGCGUAGUCGAUGGGAAACAGGUUAAUAUUCCUGUACUUGGUGUUACUGCGAAGGGGGGACGGAGAAGGCUAUGUUAGCCGGGCGACGGUUGUCCCGGUUUAAGCAUGUAGGCUGGUUAUCCAGGCAAAUCCGGAUAAUCAAGGCUGAGGUGUGAUGACGAGGCACUACGGUGCUGAAGUAACAAAUGCCCUGCUUCCAGGAAAAGCCUCUAAGCAUCAGGUAACAUCAAAUCGUACCCCAAACCGACACAGGUGGUCAGGUAGAGAAUACCAAGGCGCUUGAGAGAACUCGGGUGAAGGAACUAGGCAAAAUGGUGCCGUAACUUCGGGAGAAGGCACGCUGGUGUGUAGGUGAAGUCCCUGCGGAUGGAGCUGAGACCAGUCGAAGAUACCAGCUGGCUGCAACUGUUUAUUAAAAACACAGCACUGUGCAAACACGAAAGUGGACGUAUACGGUGUGACGCCUGCCCGGUGCCGGAAGGUUAAUUGAUGGGGUUAUCCGUAAGGAGAAGCUCUUGAUCGAAGCCCCGGUAAACGGCGGCCGUAACUAUAACGGUCCUAAGGUAGCGAAAUUCCUUGUCGGGUAAGUUCCGACCUGCACGAAUGGCGUAAUGAUGGCCAGGCUGUCUCCACCCGAGACUCAGUGAAAUUGAACUCGCUGUGAAGAUGCAGUGUACCCGCGGCAAGACGGAAAGACCCCGUGAACCUUUACUAUAGCUUGACACUGAACAUUGAGCCUUGAUGUGUAGGAUAGGUGGGAGGCUUUGAAGCGUGGACGCCAGUCUGCGUGGAGCCAACCUUGAAAUACCACCCUUUAAUGUUUGAUGUUCUAACGUUGGCCCCUGACCGGGGUUGCGGACAGUGUCUGGUGGGUAGUUUGACUGGGGCGGUCUCCUCCCAAAGCGUAACGGAGGAGCACGAAGGUUAGCUAAUCCUGGUCGGACAUCAGGAGGUUAGUGCAAUGGCAUAAGCUAGCUUGACUGCGAGCGUGACGGCGCGAGCAGGUGCGAAAGCAGGUCAUAGUGAUCCGGUGGUUCUGAAUGGAAGGGCCAUCGCUCAACGGAUAAAAGGUACUCCGGGGAUAACAGGCUGAUACCGCCCAAGAGUUCAUAUCGACGGCGGUGUUUGGCACCUCGAUGUCGGCUCAUCACAUCCUGGGGCUGAAGUAGGUCCCAAGGGUAUGGCUGUUCGCCAUUUAAAGUGGUACGCGAGCUGGGUUUAGAACGUCGUGAGACAGUUCGGUCCCUAUCUGCCGUGGGCGCUGGAGAAUUGAGGGGGGCUGCUCCUAGUACGAGAGGACCGGAGUGGACGCAUCACUGGUGUUCGGGUUGUCAUGCCAAUGGCACUGCCCGGUAGCUAAAUGCGGAAGAGAUAAGUGCUGAAAGCAUCUAAGCACGAAACUUGCCCCGAGAUGAGUUCUCCCUGAGACUAUAAGUCUCCUGAAGGAACGUUAAAGACGAUGACGUUGAUAGGCCGGGUGUGUAAGCGCAGCGAUGCGUUGAGCUAACCGGUACUAAUGAACCGUGAGGCUUAACCUU